CAGCAGAGGACUCCGAUGCGGAGCCGCGUUCAAGUCACCACAUCCGUGUCACUGUCACAUUCCUUUGGGUUCCACUUGGUGGAUCAGGGUCGCCACCGUGCGCCGCCCCAAAUUCUACCGUCAAAACGCGGACCAUAAUCGCAUCCAUAUCUGAUUCACAAACGCGGACGCGCUGUAAAAUCUAACGGACGUUGGUACAGUUUUUGUUGGGGCAGACACGACCGAACAGCGCUCUCCAUAUACAGGUGGAAUUACCUCUGGGUCGGACAGGGCUAGCCAGCUGUAAUCCACCCUGCUACGGUGAUGCCCGCCUGCCUCCCGGCUUUUACGACCAAGAAUCGGAGCGCUGAUGUGAUGUUUCCCCGUCGACUGAUGAGGGAAGGAAGAGAAGGCAGCCACGACACGCGAUUGUUCAACAUGACAGUGAGACAGAAAAAUAAUGUCAAGAUAAAUAAAAAAAUCAUGAUGAGUGAAGUUCUUCGUCAGGUUGUGUUUUUUUCGGGUUCUUAUUUAAACGGUGUCUAGGCCAGGUCUGUGUUAUCUGUAGAAUUAAAUCUAAAUGCUGUUUGAAACGGUUAACUGGUUUAGUGUUCGUUUAUUGGGAUUAUAGCAUAAUAAGAAAGUAACUUUAUGAGCACGGAUCCAAAAUGGUCCCGGCCCGGAACAUCUAUGAGUCCGGAAUGGGUCCGUAACUGAUAAAAAGUAGUGGAACCGUGACGGAUGCAAUAAGUGGACACGGAAUGAGUCCGCAUCGGAUGUCGCGCCUCCGAACCGGGCUCACUGCGGAG